CCUACGGGAGGCUGCAGUGGGGAAUAUUGCACAAUGGGGGAAACCCUGAUGCAGCGACGCCGCGUGAGUGAAGAAGUAUUUCGGUAUGUAAAGCUCUAUCAGCCGGGAAGAAAAUGACGGUACCUGAUUAAGAAGCCCCGGCUAACUACGUGCCAGCAGCCGCGGUCAUACGUAGGGGGCACGCGUUAUCCGGAUUUAAUGGGUGUAAAGGGAGCGUAGACGGCAGCACAAGUCUGGAGUGAAAUGCCGGGGCUUAACCCCGGAACUGCUUUGGAAACUGUGGAGCUAGAGUGCAGGAGAGGUAAGUGGAAUUCCUAGUGUAGCGGUGACAUGCGUAGAUAUUAGGAGGAACACCAGUGGCGAAGGCGGCCUGCUGGGCUUUUACUGACGCUGAGGCUCGAAAGUGUGGGGAGCAAACAGGAUUAGAUACCCCUGUAGUC
rnacentral:rRNA from 1 species